GAUGAAGAACGCAGCGAAAUGCGAUAAGUAGUGUGAAUUGCAGAAUUCAGUGAAUCAUCGAAUCUUUGAACGCACCUUGCGCCCUUUGGCCAUUCCGAAGGGCAUGCCUGUUUGAGUAUCAUGAACACCUCAACUCUUCAUGGUUUUCCGUGAUGAGCUUGGACUUUGGGGGUCUUGCUGGCCUAUGGUCAGCUCCUCUAAAAUAAAUCAGCUUGCCAGUGUUUGGUGGGUAUCACAGGUGUGAUAACUAUCUACGCUUGUGGUUUUCCACCAGGUAACCUUCAGCAGUGGAGGUUCGCUGGAGCUCACAGAUGUGUCUCUCCUCAGUGAGGACAGCUCUUUGAAUGUUUGAUCUCAAAUCAGGUAGGACUACCCGCUGAACUUAAGCAUAUCAAUAAGCGGAGGA
rnacentral:misc_RNA from 1 species